AGAAAUUCGAUUCCGUAAGUAGCGGCGAGCGAACGCGGAUUAGCCCAAACCAAUAAAGUUUUCUUUAUUGGGGUUGCGGACAUAUCAUAACGAAGAGGUAUCGUAAUUGAAGAGGUUUGGAAAGACCCACCACAGAAGGUAAUAGUCCUGUAUGUUAAACGAAAAGACUUUAGAUAUGAUCCAGAGUACCACGGGACACGUGAAACCCGGUGGGAAGCAGGAGGGACCACCCUCCAAGGCUAAAUACUACCUAGUGACCGAUAGCGUAUAGUACCGGGAGGGAAAGGUGAAAAGAACCCCGGGAGGGGAGUGAAAUAGAACCUGAAACCCUGCACUUACAAGCUGUGGAAGCACAUUUCUUGUGUGACCGCGUACUUUUUGUAGAACGGGCCAACGAGUUACGUUAAGUAGCAAG
rnacentral:rRNA from 1 species